rnacentral:misc_RNA from 1 species
UCAUUUAGAGGAAGGAGAAGUCGUAACAAGGUUUCCGUAGGUGAACCUGCGGAAGGAUCAUUGUCAAUACCCACAGAAGGCAAACUCGCGAACUCGUUAAAGUUGGCAACGGGAAGGAAGACGAGGCGGGAGCCGGUGGGAUGCCCGACCUCUUACUCCUUUCCUUCCUUGGUCGAGCAGUGGAGACACUCGCUCGACCCAAGGACACUCAAUCUCGGCGCAACAAGCGCCAAGGAAAUCGAAAUAUCAAAGCAUGCCACGCCCAGUGGCAUUCUUGACAAACAACAACGACUCUCGGCAACGGAUAUCUCGGCUCUCGCAUCGAUGAAGAACGUAGCGAAAUGCGAUACUUGGUGUGAAUUGCAGAAUCCCGUGAACCAUCGAGUCUUUGAACGCAAGUUGCGCCCGAAGCCUUUCGGUCGAGGGCACGUCUGCCUGGGCGUCACGCGUUUCACCUCCCCAAAGCAGCACAUUCGUCAAACGUAAUGCACGCUUUGGGAAGGAGAUUGGCCUCCCGUGUGCAUAGUUAGGCGGAUGGCUUAAAUCAAGAGUCCUAGGCUGCAGGUUUUGCGGCAAGCGUUGGUUGAUGCGGUGCAAGUCCUGCACUAUGUCGAACAUCUGCACCUUGGAUUUUCUCGAAAGACCCUCAAUAAAACGAUCGCGACCCCAGGUCAGGCGGGACUACCCGCUGAGUUUAAGCAUAUCA